GGUUGCGAUCAUACCAGCACUAAUGCACCAUAUCCCAUCAGAACUCCGCAGUUAAGCGUGCUUGGGCGAGAGUAGUACUAGGAUGGGUGACCCCCUGGGAAGUCCUCGUGUUACAACCCC
rnacentral:rRNA from 1 species